rnacentral:sRNA from 1 species
GGUGAAAGAUAGUGAACGUGAAUAUCGAUACCGCCGGCAGUCACGAUCAUGCCUUCGCCGGAAAUUGCUUCCGUGCUUGCGCCAACGACAAAAUCGAUGUUGUCCAUAUUGUCAGGAUUGCCACCCUUGCCGAUUGCCAAAAUCUUGCCGUCUCUGAUGCCGAUAUCGGCCUUAUAAAUGCCCGUGUAGUCGAUGAUCGUUGCAUCACUGAUGAUCGUAUCUGCUACGAGAGGGUUGUUUUCGCGCGUUUCCGUUGCGUUAACGCCCAUGCCGUCGC